UACGGAGGGUGCAAGCGUUGUCCGGAUUUAUUGGGUUUAAAGGGUGCGUAGGCGGGGAUGUAAGUCAGUGGUGAAAUCCCGCGGCUCAACCGUGGAAUUGCCAUUGAUACUGCAUGCCUUGAAUGGGGCCGAGGUGGCUGGAAUACGUGGUGUAGCGGUGAAAUGCUUAGAGAUCACGUAGAACACCUAUUGCGAAGGCAGGUCACUGGGCCCUGAUUGACGCUGAUGCACGAAAGUGUGGGGAGCGAACAGG
rnacentral:rRNA from 1 species